AGAGUUUGAUCAUGGCUCAGAUUGAACGCUGGCGGAAUGCUUUACACAUGCAAGUCGAACGGUAGAGGGGGCAACCCCUCGAGAGUGGCGAACGGGUGAGUAAUAUAUCGGAACGUGCCCAGUCGUGGGGGAUAACGUAGCGAAAGUUACGCUAAUACCGCAUACGAUCUACGGAUGAAAGCGGGGGACUCGCAAGAGCCUCGCGCGAUUGGAGCGGCCGAUAUCAGAUUAGGUAGUUGGUGGGGUAAAGGCUCACCAAGCCAACGAUCUGUAGCUGGUCUGAGAGGACGACCAGCCACACUGGAACUGAGACACGGUCCAGACUCCUACGGGAGGCAGCAGUGGGGAAUUUUGGACAAUGGACGCAAGUCUGAUCCAGCCAUUCCGCGUGCAGGAUGAAGGCCCUCGGGUUGUAAACUGCUUUUGUACGGAACGAAAAGGUCUCUAUUAAUACUAGGGGCUCAUGACGGUACCGUAAGAAUAAGCACCGGCUAACUACGUGCCAGCAGCCGCGGUAAUACGUAGGGUGCAAGCGUUAAUCGGAAUUACUGGGCGUAAAGCGUGCGCAGGCGGUUAUGUAAGACAGAGGUGAAAUCCCCGGGCUCAACCUGGGAACUGCCUUUGUGACUGCAUAGCUAGAGUACGGUAGAGGGGGAUGGAAUUCCGCGUGUAGCAGUGAAAUGCGUAGAUAUGCGGAGGAACACCGAUGGCGAAGGCAAUCCCCUGGACCUGUACUGACGCUCAUGCACGAAAGCGUGGGGAGCAAACAGGAUUAGAUACCCUGGUAGUCCACGCCCUAAACGAUGUCAACUGGUUGUUGGGUCU
rnacentral:rRNA from 1 species